CUCUCGAGUACUCGUUUCCCACUGCUGCUGUACUUCCAAAGAAGCUGCCACAUCUGCCUGGAGAACAGAUAAGGCAAGUGAAAAUGAUACCUUGCAGCAUGUGGAGACAAGGUGCAGAAGGAACAAGCAGAGAAGAAUGCAGUCUGCACAGUCAACUCAGCAGAAGGAGUCCGAGCUGAAGAACUCGAGAAGCUGCCGUAUCUGCCUGAAGAAACAAGCAGAGAAGAAUGCAGCAUGCACAGUCAACUCGGCAGAAAGAGUCUGAGAUGAAGAACUCGUUUUGACCCUCAAAUUCU
rnacentral:lncRNA from 1 species